GCUACAUGAGUAUCUACGUACAAUUGACUUCCAAUCAAUAAGAUUAAUUAUUAAAUGUAGUA
rnacentral:tRNA from 1 species